GAUGAAGAACACAGCAAAAUGCGAUAAGUAAUGUGAAUUGCAGAAUUCAGUGAAUCAUCGAAUCUUUGAACGCACAUUGCGCCCGCCAGUAUUCUGGCGGGCAUGCCUGUUCGAGCGUCAUUUCAACCCUCAAGCACAGCUUGGUGUUGGGACUCGCGUUAAUUCGCGUUCCUCAAAUUGAUUGGCGGUCACGUCGAGCUUCCAUAGCGUAGUAGUAAAACCCUCGUUACUGGUAAUCGUCGCGGCCACGCCGUUAAACCCCAACUUCUGAAUGUUGACCUCGGAUCAGGUAGGAAUACCCGCUGAACUUAAGCAUAUCAAUAAGCGGAGGA
rnacentral:misc_RNA from 1 species